UCUAAGUAAGGAGUAGAAAACCCAAACCCUUCUCCCAACUCCUAUCUUCCGAUCGUUUUUGAUCCCGAACCCUUCUCCCAACUCCUCUUCUCACGCGGCCUUCUCCAUCCAACUCCUCUCCGGCAAACCCCCCUCUGGUGAACCCCUCUCCGCGAACCACUCCUCCGAACUCCUCUCCGUCAAGAACACGGGAUUAAUCUCUUCACCUUCGUCGCCUCAUUCACGCUUCCUUCACACUGCCCAAUCUCUUUGACCACACCUUAUUCAAGCGACAGAUCCCGGAACUGGUCGAGUUCCGGGUCAUCGAAGACCUUGCGACGGCAGCUCAGCCGCGACUCCAGCUCCCGAGCUAACCCCUUUCCAGUCGAGCGAAGGAGAAAGUAAGGAGUAAGCCUCCUUCGUCCUCUCUCUCUCUCUCUUUCUCUGGGAGUUUAUUCCGCUUUCAGGCGUCUCACCCUUCCUUCGAUUACCAGCGUAAAGGUAAGCGAUCUGCUUUGCUUGUCCAUGGAAGAACGACGAGGUCAUCUCUAGGUUACAUUUUUUUCCCUCUCCCUUGCUUUCUUCUUGAACCUUUUGUGUCGAUUCAUGACGAAGCAUUUGAUCUCAGUUCUGAAUUAGAAGUUCCAGUAUGUAAAUGGGCAACCUUUUGUCUCUAACUAUUUAGUUUUCAGAAUCCGACAUUUGGGGAUAGAAAUGUUUCAUCUUUUCUCUCUCUCUCUCUCUAGGGCUACUAGACUGUAGCCUUCUGGAUUAACUUGUGUUUAUCUUGUUAUUAGGUUCUCGGUGGAGUGAUCAUGCUAACUUCAUUCAUUUUUAGGGUUUUGAUGUAAGACACCAAAAAACUUUGUUGCUUUGGACUGGGCGAUGUUUACAGUGAGAAACUGACCCUAGAAUUGAAUAAGCAAGAGAUUGAGCAGUUGCGUUUCUGGUGCCAAUAUUGAUUCUAUUUGGAUUGUUGAGAGAAUUGGGAGUAUUUGCUGAUAUUCUCUUCUCAUGGUUACCAUUCUAUUAUGGAGCAAAGCUUGGCGCCUUCCUGUAUUUGUGGCAUCCCCGGACAAAAGGAGCAACAUUUGUCUAUGAGACAUUCCUAGCGCCUUUUAUCGCAGAGCAUGAGUCUGAGAUUGAUCCGUCUUUGUUUGAGUUUAGAGCUAGGGCAGCAGAUUGGGGAUUGAUAGCUUGGCAGAUGGCUGUUAGCUACUUGCAGACAAGUGUUCCUGAGAUGAAGAAAUAUGCUAUUUCAUUGAUGCCAACAAUGAACUCUAUAGAGGAACCACUAGCAACGCCAGUGCACUGAGCAACAUGACCCUGGAAGAGUGCCAAAGUUUGUGUUGGACGAACUGUUCUUGCGUGGCAUUUUCUAUGAUCAGAGACAACAUGUGCCUAUCUUGGCCUGCUGACCUGAUGGAUAUUAGGGUUUUUGCACAAGGCAGCAAUGAUCUAUACGUUCGGCUUGCAGCUUCUGAAUUAGAUUCAAUAAGGAGUUCAGGAAAGCAGAAAUCAUUAGUGAUAAACUGUUCCAGUGCUGAGCUUUCUAUUGUUACUAUGUGUUGGUUCAGUUUUAUGGUUGGAGCGAAGAAGCAAGCUCGGAAUGUUUGCUACUAUUCAUUGUUCAUACGAGCAACAGAAAUUAAACAAUUGUUGCUUGUGAUAUCUAAAAGCUAUUACCUUGUAUAACUUGUUCAUUUUUUAAUAGUUAAACCAGACAUAGUAGACCCCUCCACUCCCAAAGAAACAGAGCUCGACUUGAGUAUGGUUUCGAUAAGAGCUGCCACAAAUGAAUUUUCAAGAGACAAUAUAGUUGGAAUGGGUGGAUUUGGCUUUAUUUACAAGGUAAAUUAGCAGAUGGACAAGAGGUUGCUGUGAAAAGAUUGUCCAAAGCUUCUGAACAAGGUACAGAUGAGUUCAAGACUGAGGUUUCGAUCAUUGCCAAACUACAACACCGAAAUCUUGUUCGUCUACUGGGUUACUGCAUCAAGGAUGAGGAAAGAAUCCUUAUCUACGAGUACAUGACAAAUAAAAGCUUGGACACUUUCAUAUUUGGUCAUGUUCAAUCUGUUUAAAGCUCACAAAGAUCCUAGACAAAAUCCAAUUGCUUAUUCCUGUAAUAGAUUGAGAGACAAGCUACUUCUUCAGUAUUGUGGUAGUAAUUACUGUACUGUAUCUCUUUCUCAAGCCGAUAAUAAUUUUUUAGUGUAGCUAGUAGAAGUAAACAGAUUGUUGGCUUCGAGGUCGGCUAAUUAGUUUGUGCUCUUUUGUUUUAUAUGUGAAUAUCACUAUCUACUUUGAAACAGAAUUAGUGUUAAUUUUGAUA